rnacentral:rRNA from 1 species
AUGCAAGUCGGACGGCAGCACAGAGAAGCUUGCUUCUUGGGUGGCGAGUGGCGAACGGGUGAGUAACGCAUCGGAACGUACCGAGUAAUGGGGGAUAACUGUCCGAAAGGACAGCUAAUACCGCAUACGCCCUGAGGGGGAAAGCGGGGGAUCUUAGGACCUCGCGUUAUUCGAGCGGCCGAUGUCUGAUUAGCUGGUUGGCGGGGUAAAGGCCCACCAAGGCGACGAUCAGUAGCGGGUCUGAGAGGAUGAUCCGCCACACUGGGACUGAGACACGGCCCAGACUCCUACGGGAGGCAGCAGUGGGGAAUUUUGGACAAUGGGCGCAAGCCUGAUCCAGCCAUGCCGCGUGUCUGAAGAAGGCCUUCGGGUUGUAAAGGACUUUUGUCAGGGAAGAAAAGGGGCAUGUUAAUACCGUGCUCUGAUGACGGUACCUGAAGAAUAAGCACCGGCUAACUACGUGCCAGCAGCCGCGGUAAUACGUAGGGUGCGAGCGUUAAUCGGAAUUACUGGGCGUAAAGCGGGCGCAGACGGUUACUUAAGCGGGAUGUGAAAUCCCCGGGCUCAACCCGGGAACUGCGUUCCGAACUGGGUGGCUAGAGUGUGUCAGAGGGGGGUAGAAUUCCACGUGUAGCAGUGAAAUGCGUAGAGAUGUGGAGGAAUACCGAUGGCGAAGGCAGCCCCCUGGGAUAACACUGACGUUCAUGCCCGAAAGCGUGGGUAGCAAACAGGAUUAGAUACCCU